rnacentral:rRNA from 1 species
GAUAACUCCGGGAAACCGGGGCUAAUACCGGAUGGUUGUUUGAACCGCAUGGUUCAAACAUAAAAGGUGGCUUCGGCUACCACUUACAGAUGGACCCCGCGGCGCAUUAGCUAGUUGGUGAGGUAACGGCUCACCAAGGCAACGAUGCGUAGCCGACCUGAGAGGGUGAUCGGCCACACUGGGACUGAGACACGGGCCCAGACUYCUACGGGGAGGCAGCAGUAGGGAAUCUUCCGCAAUGGACGAAAGUCUGACGGAGCAACGCCGCGUGAGUGAUGAAGGUUUUCGGAUCGUAAAGCUCUGUUGUUAGGGAAGAACAAGUACCGGUUCGAAUAGGGCGGUACCUUGACGGUACCUAACCAAGAAAGCCACGGCUAACUACGUGCCAGCAGCCGCGGUAAUACGUAGGUGGCAAGCGUUGUCCGGAAUUAUUGGGCGUAAAGGGCUCGCAGGCGGUUUCUUAAGUCUGAUGUGAAAGCCCCCGGCUCAACCGGGGAGGGUCAUUGGAAACUGGGGAACUUGAGUGCAGAAGAGGAGAGUGGAAUUCCACGUGUAGCGGUGAAAUGCGUAGAGAUGUGGAGGAACACCAGUGGCGAAGGCGACUCUCUGGUCUGUAACUGACGCUGAGGAGCGAAAGCGUGGGGAGCGAACAGGAUUAGAUACCCUGGUAGUCCACGCCGUAAACGAUGAGUGCUAAGUGUUAGGGGGUUUCCGCCCCUUAGUGCUGCAGCUAACGCAUUAAGCACUCCGCCUGGGGAGUCAGCAGGGGUCGCAAGACUGAAACUCAAAGGAAUUGACGGGGGCCCGCACAACGCCGGUGGAGCAUGUGGUUUAUUCGAAGCAACGCGAAGAACCUUACCAGGUCUUGACAUCCUCUGACAAUCCUAGAGAUAGGACGUCCCCUUCGGGGGCAGAGUGACAGGUGGUGCAUGGUUGUCGUCAGCUCGUGUCGUGAGAUGUUGGGUUAAGUCCCGCAACGAGCGCAACCCUUGAUCUUAGUUGCCAGCAUUCAGUUGGGCACUCUAAGGUGACUGCCGGUGACAAACCGGAGGAAGGUGGGGAUGACGUCAAAUCAUCAUGCCCCUUAUUGACCUGGGCUACACACGUGCUACAAUGGACAGAACAAAGGGCAGCGAAACCGCGAGGUUAAGCCAAUCCCACAAAUCUGUUCUCAGUUCGGAUCGCAGUCU